AAGAUGUCAGAAAAGAGUCAGAAAGCCCAGGUGAUAGAAUAAGUGCCAAGAACAUAUACACCAUGGAAUACUGUGCAGCCAUAAAAAGGAAUGAGUUCAUGUCCUUUGCAGGGACAUGGAUGAAGCUGGAAACCAUCAUUCUCAGCAAACUAACACAGCAACAGAAAACCAAACACCGCAUGUUCUCACUCAUAAGUGGGAGUUGAACAAUGAGAACACAUGGACACAGAUUGGUAAAACUUCAGCGGUUGGAUGACACCCUCUUUUGGUGAUGCCGUGGGGGAACGCAACAUGAUUCAACCCCAAUGAAAGAGAAGUUGCAAUAACCGCUAAGACUGCAGAUGCAUUUGACUCAGCAAACCCCCUUCAAGAAAUGCAUAUGAAAAAAACUCAUGUUUCAGGUUAUUCAUUACAACAUUGUUUGUAAUAGCAAAAUGUGGAUUAGAAAUAGUCCAGAUGUCUGUCCGUAGGGGACUGUUUAAUAAACUAUUGUCAGUCCCUUA
rnacentral:lncRNA from 1 species